rnacentral:rRNA from 1 species
UACGAAGGGGGCUAGCGUUGCUCGGAAUCACUGGGCGUAAAGGGCUCGUAGGCGGCCAACUAAGUCAGACGUGAAAUCCCUCGGCUUAACCGGGGAACUGCGUCUGAUACUGGAUGGCUUGAGUUUGGGAGAGGGAUGCGGAAUUCCAGGUGUAGCGGUGAAAUGCGUAGAUAUCUGGAGGAACACCGGUGGCGAAGGCGGCAUCCUGGACCAACACUGACGCUGAGGAGCGAAAGCCAGGGGAGCAAACGGG